CUUCCAUCUACUGAAAUGGGAGAGGGGGUGGGGAGCUUCUGUUCUGGUGAAGGGACCCGGGCAGGCCCCCACGACCUGCCUGUCAUGCCCACCCCCUGAGGAAGCAUGGGGACCCUAACACCCUGGUGCCCUGCACCAGACAGGCCGUGGUCAGGCCCAGGCCACCGGCCGGGUUCUGCCACAGCUUCCCACGUGCUUGCUGACAUGCGUGUGCCUGUGUGUGGUGUCUGUUGCUGUGUCGUGAAACUGUGACCAUCACUCAGUCCAAACAAGUGAGUGGCCCUCGAGGCCACAGUUAUGCAACUUUCAGUGUGUGUCAUAACGACGUCACUGCUUUUUAAACUCGAUAACUCUUUAUUUUAGUAAAAUGCCCAGGAGUCCUGGAAGCUACGCGGACUUGCAGAGGUUUUAUUUUUUGGCCUUAGAAUCUGCAGAAAUUAGGAGGCACCGAGCCCAGCGCAGCAGCCUCGGACCCGGAUUGCGUUUGCCUUAGCGGAUAUGUUUAUACAGAUGAAUAUAAAAUGUUUUUUUCUUUGGGCUUUUUGCUUCUUUUUUCCCCCCCUUCUCACCUUCCCUUCUCCCCGACCCCACCCCCCAAAAAAGCUACUUCUUCAUUCCGUGGUACGAUUAUUUUUUUUAACUAAAGGAAGAUAAAAUU
rnacentral:lncRNA from 1 species